rnacentral:lncRNA from 1 species
UUGAAAACCCUUCCAAUGUCGGGCAAUGUCCCACCUCCCCAUGCAGAAGCCAGAAAUGCUCCCUCAGAGCCUCCCACACAGCGGGGAGGAGGCACGUGAGGAGGGAUCUGACAACACACACACUGCCGAGGGCCAUUGAGGCGUGCGUGUGAGCUGCAAAGGAGCGGCUGUCGCUUGACUUCACUCUGGGGUGGCAGCCAAGAGGCAGCCAGUGUCUGGGGUGCCGUGGGCAUUGUGUGGCCACCCCCAUUGCACUGGAGCCUCUGGCCCCCCUGGAGAUGUUACCAACUCCCUGACAUCCUCUGAACCCUUCUUCAACCUCAUUCUCUUCAGCUAGUUAGAGUGGACUCUGUUGGUUAUGCCCAGCUGGGAUAAGCCCCUGACUUGGAUGACUAACGAAGACUGGGCCAAGAAUAAAGUCACAGAGGACUCCUUCCAUCUUCUCCCUCCGGCUGUGGCCUUGUUCCUGGUACCUUGCCCUCUUUGCAAGCCGUGUCUCACAGCCAGAUGAAGAAGGAAAAUGGACUGGGGAGGGAGCAGCUGACUUCUUUAGAAUCAAUCAGCAAAAAUCCAAUGAUACAUCCAACUGUAAACUCCCAACGAAAUCUAGAAAUCAACUACCUGAAGAUACUGGAGAAUGAAAAAAAGCAGGCAGAUACUGGAGGGAAGUUGACACUUGGAAGAAAAGGACAUCACAGAGAAAUCCAAAAUAUAACAAGAUGUAGAGGAAAAAAUUGUAAAUUACCUCCUUAUCCCGAACUUCUAAUCCUACAGCAGUCCUGAGAGGAAGUUCCAGUUUUCAGUUGAAAGCAAAUCUUUCUUCACAUUUUUCUUCGUCUUUGCAUACGUAUGAACACGAACAGGAUGUAGAUACGUAAUCUAGUUCUGCAAUUUAAAAAGUGGAGCCUGAUUCUCCUCCCCUGGAACAGGCGUUGGCCUUAGUGUCUCACCUCUAACAAGCAGAAAGAAGGGACGGUGUGUGAUGUCCAGCUUGCACUUGGCUCUUUUUCUGUUGGGAUGCUUUCCCUUGGCACCCAGCCAUGUUGUGAGGAAGCCCAGGCCACGCGUAGAGGCCCAGCCUCAGUCCACAUGGAGAGGCCCACAUGGAGAAGAAACGAGUCAAAGCCCCCAGUCAACAGCCAGCACCAGCUGCCAGACGUGUGAGGGACCCAGCUCUUGAGCCCUCCAACUGAGGCCCCAACACCGGGAGCAAAGACUGGCCAUCUCCACUGUAUCCUGUCCCAACUCCUGCUCCAUAGACUCCACAAAGAGUUGUUUUACACCACUAAGUCUUGGGGUGAUUUAUUACGCAGUCAUAGUAACUAGUCUAUUUAUUGAUAAAGAUAGUUUUAUAGUGUUCCUCCACGCCUUCCAACUGGGAUGGAAAAGGGGAGACAACUUUGCUCAGAAAUUUUAUUAUGUUUUUCUAGUAACUCAUUCUUCCACUUUCCUCAAUGAAAU